ACAGAUCGUUCAGAGUUUGAUCCUGGCUCAGGAUGAACGCUGGCGGCGUGCCUAACACAUGCAAGUCGAACGAAGCACUUUUCUUGAAUCUACGGAGGACAGAGUUGUGACUGAGUGGCGGACGGGUGAGUAACGCGUGGGUAACCUGCCCUGUACAGGGGGAUAACAGUUAGAAAUGACUGCUAAUACCGCAUAAGCGCACGAGGUAGCAUUACAUUGUGUAGAAAAACUCCGGUGGUACAGGAUGGGCCCGCGUCUGAUUAGCUUGUUGGCGGGGUAAGAGCCCACCAAGGCGACGAUCAGUAGCCGGUCUGAGAGGAUGAACGGCCACAUUGGAACUGAGACACGGUCCAA
rnacentral:rRNA from 1 species